rnacentral:lncRNA from 1 species
UCUGGAGAGGUCAUCUUAAGCUGAUUUAGUAGGAGCACAAUGAUGCAGAGAAUAGUGGUUCAGGGGAAACUAUUAUCCUGUUCUAGUAGCGUGUGUUCUGCAGAUACAAUAUAUCAAAUAUUAUUCUACAUUGACAUAUUAGUGUUUGAUGCUUGAUCAUUCACAUAGUACAAGUUGCAAAUUAACUCUCUACAGUCUACAAGGCAGUGAAAAUUGAGAUCCUGCCACAGGUUGGGAAGAGAACAAAAAUUGUAAAAUGUGAUUGUAAUACAGGUUAUAAGAUAAGAUCAUACAAAGUUUACAUAUGUGCAUAUAAAUUCAUUUAUAAGAAUGUAAGAAUAGCAUACAUAAGGGGAUCAACCAUUAACUUAUACCACUACCUAAUUAAACUUAAAUUCAAUAUCUAUAAAAAGGUCAUACACCACUCAUAAGUCAUAAAUUAAUAACUUCAACCAAAGUAGUAACAACUUUUCAACUCCAAAAAAUACAAGACAAAGAACCAAACAGCAGAAAACAAGCAAUAAGAACACCAAACAGAGGAAGCUAACAGAAAACCAAGCAAAUAUAUCUCCAAACACCAAACAAAUCAAGCUCCAGACCAAAAUUCAGUGAACCAGGCCACACCCGCCNNNNNNNNNNNNNNNNNNNNNNNNNNNNNNNNNNAGGAACCAGAGGCAGAAUGAAUAUCACGGCACUAGAGGUGAUUGGAAACACCAGAGCUGUGAAGAUGAUAAACACAUGCAUAGAAGAGGAAUGAUUGAUAAGGUUGGGUUCAAAAUGAAAUAAAUGCUCAAAAUAGGGUCAUAAGGGUGGGUUCAAAGGCCAAUGGACUUAGGCACGGGAAAAGUUCAGUUCAGGGACAAAACUGAAGCUGAACCUGAACCAAAUCGAACUGCUUUUCAGUUCAAUAAAUGUAAACCGGUUGGUUUUUUGAACCAGUUUAGUUUAUAACACCCCAUUUUAAGUAGAAAAAGUUUAAAAAUAAUUUUCUCAAUGCGGAAACCAUUAUUGAAAAUAAACUUUAAAUUCACUAAAAAUUAUUUGAUAGCAUACUUAGCCACUCAAAUAUACUUUACAAUUGAAGCAUUAAACUUAAAAUCAAACUUUGUUAACAUUUUACAAACCAAUACACUUUUGAAAAUGGCACCAUAAACAUAAACAUGAAAUCCUAAAAUCUAUAGACUCAAUUGUGAUCCGGCUUCGACUUGACAUAUUGAAUAUUUAAAAAUGAUACCUGAAAAAAUAAACAUCCCGUGGGGUGAGAUAUAAAAAUCUCAGUGAAUUCCUGGACACGGAAAAACUACCUUACCUCUUUACCUUCAUUACUUGGGAUUCUAACUUAAUUCUAAUUGAACUUAAUUUUAAAGAAAAAUUUGCAACUUAUUUUCUGCAAUCACCAUAUUUUUCUAAGUCUCCGAGUCCGAAUGUGAGAAUAAUCUGAAGGCUUAAACAUAACUGACAAGUAACUUAAGGAAUCGUGACCAAUCCCGUCACCAUAACAUGUCAGUCAACCUCAAAAGUCUUUUGGUAAGACGGAGAUAGAUUAGCUCCGUAAACGGUGCCCAGUUUACCCUCACUUACACAUCCCAUCUUUUAUAAACGGAGAAUCCACUUAGCUAGAGUUGAUCAUAAUAUCCUCACUUUCAUCUAUAUGUACAUACAUAAAUAUAACAUACAUAUACAUAUAUCGUCAACAUUUCGUAUAGGCAACUUCAAUUUAUGGAAAAGACAAGAUACAAGGUACAAUGAAGUUGUGGUGUGCUAAAGAUAUCAAAACAAUACACAGGUUACAAAAAUACAAUAAAGACAGUACAGCAGAAAACCUCAACUUGUAACUUGAUUUUCUCUAUCAAUUAUCAAUGAAAUUUAGUGAAACCAGUGCCUAUCUCGAAGGUAAUUCAGUCUUCUUUCCAAUGACACAGAAAUCAGUUAAAUACAAGCAGUGUACAACCAGAUAUAGCUAAACUACCACAGCAACAUCAGUGCAGAAUUUAAAUCAAUAACUGAAAAUUAGGGUUCAUUUUUCUCACUUAAAACUUAACUAAAUUGAGUCAUUCCAAAGUCCAUUUGAUGUUAAAUUUAGUCAAGAUUCCAAAAUGUUAACAAUCAUUUAAAAAUGAGGUCUAUAGAAAAAGAUGUGAAUAAAAUACCAAAUCUGGGUUGAUACGAAUUUAGGCAAAAUCACUGAAAUUCUUCAUCAAACAUCUCAUGUGCAUAAUAAUACAUUAACAAUGGUGCACAUUUUUCAUGCAUAUGGUUCAGCCAACCAAUCAAAAAUCAAUUUUCUCACUCAAUAUCAUACCCAAAUCAUGAAAACCUAAAUUAUAACCAAAAUCCCCAAAUUUAACUAAACCCUACUCAUGCAUGAGGGACGAGGGAAGGGAACCCACCUUAAUGGAUGAUCUUGAACCCUAGGAGGAGAAGGUGAAGAUGAUAGUGAUGAUCAUGAAUGGUAUUGCUGGCACAAGCUCCCUUCAUCUUCUCUCUUCUUAUUUCUCUUCUUUCUUUUGUUUCUCACGCUCUCUCUAUUUCUUUCUCUAUUCUGAAUUAUUUUCUUCUAAUGUUAAGUGAAAGUUUUAUCUAGUGUGUGGAUUCGGGCUUAAUGGAUGUUAUCUACUAGGUGUA